rnacentral:rRNA from 1 species
UACGGUGGGGGCAAGCGUUGUUCGGAAUUACUGGGCGUAAAGGGCUCGUAGGCGGCCAACUAAGUCAGACGUGAAAUCCCUCGGCUUAACCGGGGAACUGCGUCUGAUACUGGAUGGCUUGAGGUUGGGAGAGGGAUGCGGAAUUCCAGGUGUAGCGGUGAAAUGCGUAGAGAUCGGAAGGAACGUCAAUGGCGAAGGCAGCCACCUGGCAUCAUACUGACGCUGAGGCGCGAAAGCGUGGGGAGCGAACAGG